AUUGAACGCUGGCGGCAUGCCUUACACAUGCAAGUCGAACGGCAGCACGGGGGCAACCCUGGUGGCGAGUGGCGAACGGGUGAGUAAUACAUCGGAAUGUACCCAGUAGUGGGGGGAUAACUAGUCGAAAGAUUAGCUAAUACCGCAUACGCACUAUGGUGGAAAGCGGGGGAUCGCAAGACCUCGCGCUAUUGGAGCAGCCGAUGUCCGAUUAGGUAGUUGGUGGGGUAAAGGCCUACCAAGCCUGCGAUCGGUAACUGGUCUGAGAGGACGACCAGUCACACUGGGACUGAGACACGGCCCAGACUCCUACGGGAGGCAGCAGUGGGGAAUUUUGGACAAUGGGGGAAACCCUGAUCCAGCAAUGCCGCGUGUGGGAAGGAGGCCUUCGGGUUGUAAACCGCUUUAGUCGGAGAAAGGCAACUCUUAAUACGGUUGUUCUUGACGGUACCGGCGGAAUAAGCACCGGCUAACUACGUGCCAGCAGCCGCGGUAAU
rnacentral:rRNA from 1 species